rnacentral:lncRNA from 1 species
UGUAAUAGUCCACCCUGGUGAGAAAGUCUUCCAUUUCUCCAGCUCAUGGAUUGCACUGCUCUUUUGGAAACAAGUAAUACAUUUAUACUCAGGUAAUGAGCCACUCUUCUGAGGACAUCGAAAAGAAAAGGCAAAGUUCUUCAGUCCUGCUUCUCUGAUCCUAUCUGGGAAGAUUAGCCCUGAGCUAACAUCUGCUGCGAAUUCUCCUCUUUUUGCUGAGGAAGACUGGCCCUGAGUUAACAUAUGUGCCCAUCUUCCUCUAUUUUAUAUGUGGGACACCUGCCACAGCAUGGCUUGACAAGCCGCGUGAAGGUCUGCACCCGGGAUCCGAACCAGCGAACUCUGGGCCACCGAAGCAGAUCCUGUAAACCCAACCACAGUGCCACUGGGCUGGCCCCAACAAAUUUUUUCUUAAAGUAUCUUUUUCACAUUGAAAAAUAUAUUUGGCUGUAGUUUCACCUAGAUUCAAGGAUAUUUAAAAGAUUUCUCAUAGCCUACUUCAGCUUAUCCUUCUGUCAAGAGCCAUUUCAUAGAUCUCAGAUCUCAGAAUUUUUAUUUUCAGUGAAGCUCAUGAUUUUUAAUCACUUAAGAGAUGAAACACGAUGUGGAGGGCUUUUUUGCACUUAUUUAACCCAACUAUUUCAAAAAGAUGAGAAGAAUCAAUUGUGAAAAAUACACAGAAAUUUCAAGAUAGGUUCCUUAUGCAUGCUCAGAAAAAUUACCAAUUUUAAAUUUGUAUGAAAUCAUUAAAAAGGAACUUUGGAAAAAAAUUAAACUGGGGGAAUUUGUUAUGGCAGUUAAAGGAAAUAUUAUGACACGAAGGCAAAGAGUUCUGAAGCUUGCUCUUUAUGAAUUUAUUUUCCACAUUUCCUGCUUCAAUAUAUAGCAGAUUGUUCUUUUUCCAAAAUAAAGCUAUUUAGAGGCCCUGCAGGAAAAUAAUGACUAACAGAAUUAGCAUUGCUCUUCUUCGAAUGUUGUUGAAGAUUUUUCUAAUACAAAUUAUGAGGACUAUCCUUCUAAGUUUGUCUGGAAAUUUCAACUUUACAUAUACUGGUAGAAUAUAUCCUUUGUUUAUUACAUUUUGUCUUUAAUCUAGACAUCAAGUUUCAAA